CCGAGUUCUUGCCCUUUUCCCCCUUUGUGUCCCUCACUUAGUCCCUCUCAAAUCCUUGCAAAUCGAUUGGGUUGGUCCGUGGAUCCGGUGUCAUUUCCGUUCGUUGAGAUAUGGCGGCUUCUCAACCCAACAAGGCAACAAUGAAGGGGUUUGAGGAUGGCGAAGGUGAGAUGGCGGGGUGGUGGGAGAAGGCUGCGAAGAAGCUAAGAGAGGAGGAUGCAGUCGCACUAAAGAAGAAGAAGGAAGAGGAGCUCGAAGAGAAGAGCAAGGAACGAGAGAGAGCAGAUUAUGAGUGUCGCGCUAGGGAGCAUGCGUUGAAGAGGACAUGUGAGGAGGCACAGAAGAAGCGUCUCAAGGAUUUUCAAGAAAGAACCUUGAAGCUUUGGGCUUUCGAAGCUGAAAAGAAAGAGAGGGAGAACAAGAUAUUCAUGGAGAGGGUGGUUAAGGAGGCUCACCGCAUAAGGAAAGGGAGGAGGAGGAAGAAGAAGAGAGGAAGAAGAAGAAGGGAAAGGGGCCUUGCUCUACACAAUAGAGCAAUGUUGUGAACUGUGCCAUGCACUCCUUCGUGUGCAUUUCAUCUUGAACCUUCUUGUUGCCUAGACUCCUUUAUGUGGUGAACUAUGUGUACUCUAAAUUGCUUUGGACUCCUCUAUGUGUACUCCUUUAUGUGGUGAACUAUGUGAUUUCACAAUUACUUUGGACUCCUCUAUGUGUACUACUUUAUGUGGUGAACUAUAUGACUUCACAA